rnacentral:rRNA from 1 species
ACGCUCGACACCUACGGGAAGCAGCAGUCGGGAAUAUUGCGCAAUGGAGGAAACUCUGACGCAGUGACGCCGCGUAUAGGAAGAAGGUUUUCGGAUUGUAAACUAUUGUCGUUAGGGAAGAGAAAGGACAGUACCUAAGGAGGAAGCUCCGGCUAACUACGUGCCANGCGCGGUAUAUGNGCGGCGUGNGAGAG